GUAUUGCUAAUGCAGUUCAUAUACUAAAAUUGGAACAAUAUAGAGAAGAUUAGCAAGGCCCCUGCACAAGGAUUCUUAUAGACUGUGGACAAGGACAGUUAUU